rnacentral:rRNA from 1 species
AUUGAACGCUGGCGGCAGGCCUAACACAUGCAAGUCGAACGGUAACAGGAAACAGCUUGCUGUUUCGCUGACGAGUGGCGGACGGGUGAGUAAUGUCUGGGAAACUGCCUGAUGGAGGGGGAUAACUACUGGAAACGGUAGCUAAUACCGCAUAACGUCGCAAGACCAAAGAGGGGGACCUUCGGGCCUCUUGCCAUCAGAUGUGCCCAGAUGGGAUUAGCUAGUAGGUGGGGUAACGGCUCACCUAGGCGACGAUCCCUAGCUGGUCUGAGAGGAUGACCAGCCACACUGGAACUGAGACACGGUCCAGACUCCUACGGGAGGCAGCAGUGGGGAAUAUUGCACAAUGGGCGCAAGCCUGAUGCAGCCAUGCCGCGUGUAUGAAGAAGGCCUUCGGGUUGUAAAGUACUUUCAGCGGGGAGGAAGGGAGUAAAGUUAAUACCUUUGCUCAUUGACGUUACCCGCAGAAGAAGCACCGGCUAACUCCGUGCCAGCAGCCGCGGUAAUACGGAGGGUGCAAGCGUUAAUCGGAAUUACUGGGCGUAAAGCGCACGCAGGCGGUUUGUUAAGUCAGAUGUGAAAUCCCCGGGCUCAACCUGGGAACUGCAUCUGAUACUGGCAAGCUUGAGUCUCGUAGAGGGGGGUAGAAUUCCAGGUGUAGCGGUGAAAUGCGUAGAGAUCUGGAGGAAUACCGGUGGCGAAGGCGGCCCCCUGGACGAAGACUGACGCUCAGGUGCGAAAGCGUGGGGGAGCAAACAGGAUUAGAUACCCUGGUAGUCCACGCCGUAAACGAUGUCGACUUGGAGGUUGUGCCCUUGAGGCGUGGCUUCCGGAGCUAACGCGUUAAGUCGACCGCCUGGGGAGUACGGCCGCAAGGUUAAAACUCAAAUGAAUUGACGGGGGCCCGCACAAGCGGUGGAGCAUGUGGUUUAAUUCGAUGCAACGCGAAGAACCUUACCUGGUCUUGACAUCCACGGAAGUUUUCAGAGAUGAGAAUGUGCCUUCGGGAACCGUGAGACAGGUGCUGCAUGGCUGUCGUCAGCUCGUGUUGUGAAAUGUUGGGUUAAGUCCCGCAACGAGCGCAACCCUUAUCCUUUGUUGCCAGCGGUCCGGCCGGGAACUCAAAGGAGACUGCCAGUGAUAAACUGGAGGAAGGUGGGGAUGACGUCAAGUCAUCAUGGCCCUUACGACCAGGGCUACACACGUGCUACAAUGGCGCAUACAAAGAGAAGCGACCUCGCGAGAGCAAGCGGACCUCAUAAAGUGCGUCGUAGUCCGGAUUGGAGUCUGCAACUCGACUCCAUGAAGUCGGAAUCUCUAGUAAUCGUGGAUCAGAAUGCCACGGUGAAUACGUUCCCGGGCCUUGUACACACCGCCCGUCACACCAUGGGAGUGGGUUGCAAAAGAAGUAGGUAGCUUAACCUUCGGGAGGGCGCUUACCACUUUGUGAUUCAUGACUGGGGUGAAGUCGUAACAAGGUA